AUUGAACGCUGGCGGCAGGCCUAACACAUGCAAGUCGAGCGGAUGAAGGGAGCUUGCUCCUGGAUUCAGCGGCGGACGGGUGAGUAAUGCCUAGGAUUCUGCCUGGUAGUGGGGGAUAACGUCCGGAAACGGGCGCUAAUACCGCAUACGUCCUGAGGGAGAAAGUGGGGGAUCUUCGGACCUCACGCUAUCAGAUGAGCCUAGGUCGGAUUAGCUAGUUGGUGGGGUAAAGGCCUACCAAGGCGACGAUCCGUAACUGGUCUGAGAGGAUGAUCAGUCACACUGGAACUUAGACACGGUCCAGACUCCUACGGGAGGCAGCAGUGGGGAAUAUUGGACAAUGGGCGAAAGCCUGAUCCAGCCAUGCCGCGUGUGUGAAGAAGGUCUUCGGAUUGUAAAGCACUUUAAGUUGGGAGGAAGGGCAGUAAGUUAAUACCUUGCUGUUUUGACGUUACCAACAGAAUAAGCACCGGCUGACUUCGUG
rnacentral:rRNA from 1 species